CUGAUACUGGGUCUUCCACAGUUUCUGUUUCCACGAAGCUAAUCUGAUGGAACGACUUUCCAGAACUAAUAUUUCAAUUUUAUAUUAAGAAAAAACAUUUUAUUCUUGUUAGCCUACAGGAAAUGUGAUGGCCAAUUGUUCUGGUCAAGACCUCAUUUAGCAAUAAGAUAUUGAUAAAUUAAGUUUAGUUUAGCUGCAGGAGACAUUGUCAAACAUAUCCCCGGUAUCUGGUGACCCACGCCUAGAUUUUCCAGUCCGAUCAUUGGUCCAGUCAGAUUAUCAUCAGGUUCCUGUUCUACCAUAAAUUAUUAGUCAUUGAACUCUGAUUGGCCGAAACACUGCAUCAUAUUACCGGUAGUAAGGGGUCCUGGGACAGUUGUUGUUUGGGUUGUAAUCAUUGGAAACUCUGGACCUAUGAAGCUCUCAGUAUUUCGGAUUUGGCCAAGUUCAGUACUUAUACAGAUGGGACACAAUGUUUCUUCCUUCAAAUAAUUCAGAACCCUCGGGCAUCUGGACAUUGGCUAUGUGUCAAGGUGAAUGAGAGAUGCACUGUCAUCUGCCACAGAGCAAUUUGGUGGAAAAGCAUAUUGACCUUUGGCGAGAAAUCUAUUGGAAGACAAGCCCACAAGUGGAAGAGAAACAUAGCUGAAGACAAGGGAACGACAACAAGUGAACCAUCCCGAGGACUCAGAGCACCAAACGGGAGAACCCUUCUGAUACGGUUUCCAUUCAUUCAGUCAGGGAUAAGUUUGGUGAGUCUCAUUUAUUCUAACAUUUGUUCUUUAGACAUUCCAUUUCUGCACCGAGGAAAGCAGGAAAUAGCUGGAGCGAGACUGAAUAAACCUACAAGUGCCAGUCAUAUUCAGUGAGACUGUGGAAGGAUUGGAUGUGGACAGAGAUGAUGACAGUGACACCCCCGAACUCCACAUCAACCCUAUCCAAACCACCCUGGGCGAACAGUAAUGACCAACAAACAUAAAUCCUUUCAGUGAUCAGCGAUCUGAAUGGUUCACUCACUUUUAGAGGAAGGGGCAUCUAUGGUCCACAUUGUCAUUGUGUUUAGUUUCCCAGGAGCCAAACAUCACAUGGUUCAGUUUCCAUCAAUAAAACUACUGUUUAUAAAGAUCCUAAACAACGAGACUGCGCCGACUGCAGGCACUCCAUCCCAAAGCAGAACGCCUGGACAGUCCACACCUCUGUUUCCUUUGCAUUCUUUGUUGAAGCAGUUUGGCGGCCAAUCGGGAGAAGUCCCUCUCAACCCGGGGCUGCAUCACUCACUGCGGGACGAAGAGAUGAAGUUCCCAUCAGUGAGUAUUGAGCCCAGUCCCGAGUGAGGAGGUCUGAUGCCGGGCAGUGAGUCCGUUAACUGAUUCGAACUGCCGGCCUCGCCCCGCUUCCUGGACGGAACCUCCCGGAGUCCGUCCGGGUUGCGGGACCUUCACACCGAACCGCCUGAUAUAAGCUGCCGCCUAGACCCUAUUGUCUCGCUCCUCGGGAGUGGCGGAGGUGAGUUGGUGAUGCCGGGACAACAUCCAUCUUUCAUCUUUCGCCUGUUUGGACAAGGCAGUGAGAUCCACAUCUGUCACGUCCUCUCAUUUUGGGCAAGCAAUAUAUUUUUCUUAGGUCCAUUCCACUGUUCCGACCUGCUAAUGUUACUGGAUGUAUGACCUAUUUAUGUGAAAAUUAAGCCUGUUCUGUUUAUCCGAGCUUCUCAAAAAUGUGUGCCCCUCAGUUAAACGGCCUGCAGAAUUUCUAAAGCAGCAACCCAGACGGUCUAAUACACCCACACAAAUAAAAUUUGGAAUCAGUUUAUCAAAUGUAUUUAAAUUUUGCACUGCUUAGUUAACUAAACAUGUAUAUUAUUGAAGUCACUUUUUUCAUCUACUAUUAUGUGUUAUAUUGUAUUGCUGCCUUAAAGACAACACAAUUCGUGACAUUUGCCGGUAAUAUUAAACCUGAUUCUGAAAUUGUCAGGGGAGAGCCACCCUUCUGUAAAGCGAUCACUGUUGACCGCAGGUCUGCGGCAUUUGCGGGAUUGUUUCCGAGGCCUCGCCCACAGCUCUGCUUUACUGAGGCAGUGGGAAGUAUAGUCUGAUUCCACGGUGUUAAAGUUUGUUUCUAUGAUGUUCCUCAGCUGUGUCCACAGUUCUCUGCAUUUCAUUGCAGUCACAUGCAGUGCUGUAGCCACAGGAAAUCUUUAGGGAUCUGGAUGGGAUACUUUCUACGAUAAUAUUUGGUGAGGGACAAAGGGUGUAUGCCAAGGUUGGUUUUAUUUGUUCUAUCUUUGUCAUUUUAUGAUCAUUUACAUUUUAUGUACAUUUUAUUACAUUUUACAUUUUAUGUACUAUUAAUUCAUUAUCUGUGUAUUGCUGGAGGAUCAUCAGAAAUUGUCCUUGAUCCCUUCUCCCUCGUGGUUCAACAAUCUUUCUCCUACUGCUGUCUUCAUUCUGAGGUAUUUUGCCUCAGUUACUUCUGAAUACGGUUACCCUGAGUUUCUUCUGA